rnacentral:rRNA from 1 species
UGGGGAAUUUUGGACAAUGGGCGAAAGCCUGAUCCAGCAAUGCCGCGUGUGUGAAGAAGGCCUUCGGGUUGUAAAGCACUUUUGUCCGGAAAGAAAUCCUUGGCUCUAAUACAGUCGGGGGAUGACGGUACCGGAAGAAUAAGCACCGGCUAACUACGUGCCAGCAGCCGCGGUAAUACGUAGGGUGCAAGCGUUAAUCGGAAUUACUGGGCGUAAAGCGUGCGCAGGCGGUUUGCUAAGACCGAUGUGAAAUCCCCGGGCUCAACCUGGGAACUGCAUUGGUGACUGGCAGGCUAGAGUAUGGCAGAGGGGGGUAGAAUUCCACGUGUAGCAGUGAAAUGCGUAGAGAUGUGGAGGAAUACCGAUGGCGAAGGCAGCCCCCUGGGCCAAUACUGACGCUCAUGCACGAAAAGCGUGGGGAGCAAAACAGGAUUAGAUACCCUGGUAGUCCACGCCCUAAAACGAUGUCAACUAGUUGUUGGGGAUUCAUUUCCUUAGUAACGUAGCUAACGCGUGAAGUUGACCGCCUGGGGAGUACGGUCGCAAGAUUAAAAACUUAAAUGAAUUGACGGGGUCAUAGCUGUUUCCU